CUGGGGUGGACUCCUGAGGCUUGCAGCCACGCGGAGCUCGCUGCCGCUGUUGUAAGCUGAUUGUCAUUGUCAGCACGUUCUUCCUUCUAGAAUCCACCAGUUGAGCCUGAGGGGAGACUGGUUUGUGUCCUAGAAGAACCGGGUGCCUUCGCCCUAACCAUCAAGGUCGGCGUUACUUGAGGCGUUCUGAGCCCUUCAGCCUUCCCGUGCCAGCUGUGCAGUGAUGGCGUCCCCUGGUGUCCCAGGAAAGAGGUGCAGCUGCCGUAAGUGCAGCUCUUUUAAGGCAGAGAGAAGUAUUUCUGCCCCCCCAAUUCCCAAAUUUACUCCUCCUUGGACCAGCCAGUCCACUUACCUCCACUCAUUUAGGCGUUUGUUCUUCAUUUUAUUCAUUCAUCUGUUUGUUCAUUCAAGCACCCGCUGCGUUCCGGGUACCGAGUUUGACCCUGGAAGUACACAGAUAGAUCCUGCCCAGGCUUUAGCAUCAAGGAGCCCUCAGGCUGAUGGAGGCACAGGCUCUCAUACCACAGCAGGAUCUCCGCCUCCUGAAGGUUCAGUUCUAAAGACCACUGGCCCAUCUGGACUGUCCUGGACAUUCUGGCUGCAGCCUGUCUAUUUGGCAGGUGCAAGAAACUGCUACCAAUCCACCCCAGCCUCUUCUUGAGUGUUCACUGCUAGAUCAACCCUGUGGACAGCCAAUUCCUAUAUGGAUCAUCCCCAUAAAAGUGGUUCCCAAACCUGGCUGCCCGUUGGAAUCAUGAGGGGGAUGUGGAGAGCAUUUAGAAAAUGCCCAUGUUUGUUCUGCCAACAGAGAUGGUAAGGAUAUUGGUCUGGGGUGCAGCUUGGCCACCAGGAUGGCCUUAAAAGUUCCGCAGCUGAUUCUAAUGUGCAGCUAAAAUGAUGAACGCUGACCUAGAAGGACAAGACAGUGGCCCCGUGGACUAUCUCCUUCUUUAAAAUGGACAAUUCACUUGGUAUUAAAGGCUCUGACACCCUGCAGUAAAAACGCCUGUUUAGCGCAGUGUUCCCAAACUUAUUUAACCAUGGAACCCUUUCCUCUCCCAACAACUGUUGACAUUGGAAAAAUAACAUUCUGCAGAACACACGCUAGGGCAUGCCGGGGAUGGAGCAUUGACGGAGCCAGGGGUAUAUGGAAUGAAGAGGUUUCAGACAAGCCAUCCUUUAGGGUGAGAAGGUCCUGGGAGUACUAGAAACAAAAGCUCUAUAGAGGCAGAACUCAUUCUGACCUUUCCCCAUCAUGAAGAUUGUAUUGUUGAUCAAAAAAUCCACUCUCCAUAUGCUGACCACUGGCUUGGCUAUGUGACUUGCUCUGACUAAUGAAAUACAAUAAUAACGACAUUUAUCCCUUCUGGGUUGAAGCUUUAAAAGCUGUUGCCUGACACCAUUGAGUUCUCUGGUUUCCUUUCAUCAUGAGACCUCAACAUCCCUGAUAGAGGGUACUCCCUUAACCCAGGUCCCAGGGUAAAGGAGACACAGAACAGAGUACAGCCAAUCCCCCAUGGACAAGUAACUUCAGCAAGAAAGAAAUCUUUGUAGUUGUAAGCCACUGAUAUUUGGGGACUCACUUGUUACCACAGCAUAGCAUAGCUUACACUGACCGAUGCACUCAUGGACAUGGUUCUG
rnacentral:lncRNA from 1 species